rnacentral:rRNA from 1 species
GUGGGGAAUCUUGCGCAAUGGGCGAAAGCCUGACGCAGCCAUGCCGCGUGGAUGAUGAAGGUCUUAGGAUUGUAAAAUCCUUUCACCGGUGAAGAUAAUGACUGUAGCCGGAGAAGAAGCCCCGGCUAACUUCGUGCCAGCAGCCGCGGUAAUACGAAGGGGGCUAGCGUUGCUCGGAUUUACUGGGCGUACAGGGCGCGUAGGCGGACAUUUAAGUCAGGGGUGAAAUCCCGGGGCUCAACCUCGGAACUGCCUUUGAUACUGGGUGUCUUGAGGAUGAGAGAGGUGUGUGGAACUCCGAGUGUAGAGGUGAAAUUCGUAGAUAUUCGGAAGAACACCAGUGGCGAAGGCGACACACUGGCUCAUUACUGACGCUGAGGCGCGAAAGCGUGGGGAGCAAACAGGAUUAGAAACCCCGGUAGUCC